ensembl:snRNA U1 U1 spliceosomal RNA
AUGCUUAUCUGGUGGGGAAGAUACUGUGAUCACGCAGGUGAUCUUUCCAGGGCAACGUUCAUCCACUGCACUUGGGCUAUACUGACCCAUGCGAUUUCCCUGAAUGUGGGAAGCUCGACUGCAUACUUGGUGGUAGUGGGGGACUGUGUUCGCACUCUCCCCUA